CAGCAGUCGGGAAUAUUGGACAAUGGGCGAAAGCCUGAUCCAGCAAUACCGCGUGUGUGAAGAAGGCCUGCGGGUUGUAAAGCACUUUCAGUAGGGAAGAUAAUGACGUUACCUACAGAAGAGGCACCGGCUAACUCCGUGCCAGCAGCCGCGGUAAUACGGAGGGUGCAAGCGUUAAUCGGAAUUACUGGGCGUAAAGCGCACGUAGGCGGCUGUUUAAGUCGGAUGUGAAAGCCCCGGGCUCAACCUGGGAACUGCAUCCGAUACUGGGCAGCUAGAAUUUGGGAGAGGCGAGUGGAAUUUCCGGUGUAGCGGUGAAAUGCAUAGAGAUCGGAAGGAACACCAGUGGCGAAGGCGACUCGCCGGACCAAAAUUGACGCUGAGGUGCGAAAGCGUGGGUAGCAAACAGGAUUAGAUACCCUGGUAGUCCACGCCGUAAACGAUGUCAACUAGCCGUUGGUUCCAUUCAAGGGAUCAGUGGUGCAGCUAACGCAUUAAGUUGACCGCCUGGGGAGUACGCGCGCAAGCGUAAAACUCAAAUNAAUUGACG
rnacentral:rRNA from 1 species